GUAGGUGGCAAGCGUUGUCCGGAUUUAUUGGGCGUAAAGCGAGCGCAGGCGGAAAGAUAAGUCUGAUGUGAAAGCCCCCGGCUUAACCGGAGUAGUGCAUUGGAAACUGGGAGACUUGAGUGCAGAAGAGGAGAGUGGAACUCCAUGUGUAGCGGUGAAAUGCGUAGAUAUAUGGAAGAACACCAGUGGCGAAGGCGGCUCUCUGGUCUGCAACUGACGCUGAGGCUCGAAAGCAUGGGUAGCGA
rnacentral:rRNA from 1 species